GAUGAACGCUGGCGGCGUGCCUAAUACAUGCAAGUCGAGCGAACAGACGAGGAGCUUACUCCUCUGACGUUAGCGGCGGACGGGUGAGUAACACGUGGAUAACCUACCUAUAAGACUGGGAUAACUUCGGGAAACCGGAGCUAAUACCGGAUAACAUGUUGAACCGCAUGGUUCAACAGUGAAAGACGGUCUUGCUGUCACUUAUAGAUGGAUCCGCGUCGCAUUAGCUAGUUGGUAAGGUAACGGCUUACCAAGGCAAUGAUGCGUAGCCGACCUGAGAGGGUGAUCGGCCACACUGGAACUGAGACACGGUCCAGACUCCUACGGGAGGCAGCAGUAGGGAAUCUUCCGCAAAGGGCGAAAGCCUGACGGAGCAACGCCGCGUGAGUGAAGAAGGUCUUCGGAUCGUAAAACUCUGUUAUUAGGGAAGAACAAAUGUGUAAGUAACUAUGCACGUCUUGACGGUACCUAAUCAGAAAGCCACGGCUAACUACGUG
rnacentral:rRNA from 1 species